AUGACUAAGUCCUUUCACAAGGACAUCUGCCGUGACAAAUCCACGACAGUUGUCGUCUCGUCAGUUAUACCUUUGAAGCGUGCAUUCAGGACGGGUGUUCCUGGUCUUGAGGAGGUCCCCGAAAGAGAGCUUGGCAUCCACGAGGACAUGGAGCUGCGGUCUUGGCGUCGGUCAAGGGAUCGAAGCCUCGAAGGCCAACAAGGGAUGCGUCUAAGAGUGCUGUAG
rnacentral:rRNA from 1 species